CACGUAGGGCGCAAGCGUUGUCCGGAAUUAUUGGGCGUAAAGAGCUCGUAGGCGGUCUGUUGCGUCCGCUGUGAAAACUCGGGGCUUAACCCCGAGCCUGCAGUGGAUACGGGCAGACUAGAGGUAGGUAGGGGAGAAUGGAAUUCCCGGUGUAGCGGUGAAAUGCGCAGAUAUCGGGAGGAACACCGGUGGCGAAGGCGGCAUCCUGGACCGGUAUUGACGCUGAGGCACGAAAGCGUGGGGAGCAAACAGG
rnacentral:rRNA from 1 species